CUGAACCGUCGACACGAGUUGUUGCUGGUCCUCGGAAGGGGGCAUGUGCACGCUCUGUUUACACAUCCACUCACACCUGUGCACCCUCUGUAGUUCUAUGGUCAUGGGGGCUCAGCCCUCUCGCCGUGGUCCUACGUCUUUACACACACACCGUAACAAAGUCUCAUGGAAUGUAUGUCGCGUUCAACGCAAUACAAUA
rnacentral:misc_RNA from 2 species